rnacentral:rRNA from 1 species
UACGUAGGGGGCAAGCGUUGUCCGGAAUCAUUGGGCGUAAAGAGCGUGUAGGCGGCUCGGUAAGUCCGCUCUGAAAGCCCGGGGGCUCAACCCCGGGAGGCGGGCGGAUACUGUCGGGCUAGAGUCCGGAAGAGGCGAGUGGAAUUCCCGGUGUAGCGGUGAAAUGCGCAGAUAUCGGGAAAGAACACCCGUGGCGAAGGCGGCUCUCUGGGACGGUACUGACGCUGAGACGCGAAAGCGUGGGGAGCGAACAGG